rnacentral:tRNA from 1 species
GCGGUUUUCCGCAAAGUCCUUUGGACGAAAUUCGUAAUGAUGGGGUCACAGGUUCGAGUCCUGUAAGCGGCACCA